rnacentral:lncRNA from 1 species
UUUAAAUGUGUACGGUGUGGACCGCAAUCAUAUUAGCUUGGUCUCAGUCCUCACCGUUGACCACCAUACGUGGACUUAAUUGACCUAUGCAUUAUGAGAAAUGCAAACACAUUUUUUCUCUCUCCCACAACUUCGUCACCUUUACAAACUAAGAUUAGUCUUAAAUCAUAAACACACACAGCAUACAAACAUGCUCAUGCGAUCUCA